GAUGAACGCUGGCGGCGUGCCUAAUACAUGCAAGUCGAGCGAACGGACGAGAAGCUUGCUUCUCUGAUGUUAGCGGCGGACGGGUGAGUAACACGUGGAUAACCUACCUAUAAGACUGGGAUAACUUCGGGAAACCGGAGCUAAUACCGGAUAAUAUUUUGAACCGCAUGGUUCAAAAGUGAAAGACGGUCUUGCUGUCACUUAUAGAUGGAUCCGCGCUGCAUUAGCUAGUUGGUAAGGUAACGGCUUACCAAGGCAACGAUGCAUAGCCGACCUGAGGGGGUGAUCGGCCACACUGGAACUGAGACACGGUCCAGACUCCUACGGGAGGCAGCAGUAGGGAAUCUUCCGCAAUGGGCGAAAGCCUGACGGAGCAACGCCGCGUGAGUGAUGAAGGUCUUCGGAUCGUAAAACUCUGUUAUUAGGGAAGAACAUAUGUGUAAGUAACUGUGCACAUCUUGACGGUACCUAAUCAGAAAGCCACGGCUAACUACGUG
rnacentral:rRNA from 1 species